GCUAUCGGAUGAACCCAUAUGGGAUUAGCUAGUAGGUGGGGUAAAGGCUCACCUAGGCGACGAUCUCUAUGGUCUGAGAGGAUGAUCAGCCACACUGGGACUGAGACACGGCCCAGACUCUACGGGAGGCAGCAGUGGAAUAUUGCACAAUGGGCGCAAGCCUGAUGCAGCCAUGCCGCGUGUAUGAAGAAGGCCUUAGGGUUGAAGUACUUUCAGCGGGGAGGAAGGUGAUAAGGUUAAUACCCUUGUCAAUUGACGUUACCCGCAGAAGAAGCACCGGCUAACUCCGCCAGCAGCCGCGGUAAUACGGAGGGUGCAGGCGUUAAUCGGAAUUACUGGGUAAAGCGCACGCAGGCGGUCAAUUAAGUCAGAUGUGAAAGCCCCGAGCUUAACUUGGGAAUUGCAUCUGAAACUGGUUGGCGAGUCUUGUAGAGGGGGGUAGAAUUCCAUGUGUAGCGGUGAAAUGCGUAGAGAUGGAGGAAUACCGGUGGCGAAGGCGGCCCCCUGGACAAAGACUGACGCUCAGGUGCGAAAGCGUGGGGAGCAAACAGGAUUAGACCCUGGUAGUCCACGCUGUAAACGAUGUCGAUUUAGAGGUUGUGGUCUUGAACCGGCUUCUGGAGCUAACGCGUUAAAUCGACCGCCUGGGGAGUACGGCCGCAAGGUUAAAACUCAAAUGAAUUGAGGGGCCCGCACAAGCGGUGGAGCAUGUGGUUUAAUUCGAUGCAAUGCGAAGAACCUUACCUACUCUUGACAUCCCGAAUCCUUUAGAGAUAGAGGAGUGCCUUCGGGAACGCUGAGACAGGUGCUGCAUGGGUCGUCAGCUCGUGUUGUGAAAUGUUGGGUUAAGUCCCGCAACGAGCGCAACCCUUAUCCUUUGUUGCGCACGUAAUGGUGGGAACUCAAAGGAGACUGCCGGUGAUAAACCGGAGGAAGGUGGGGAUGACGUCAAGUCAUCAUGGCCCUUACGAGUAGGGCUACACACGUGCUACAAUGGCAGAUACAAAGAGAAGCGACCUCGAGAGCAAGCGGAACUCAUAAAGUCUGUCGUAGUCCGGAUUGGAGUCUGCAACUCGACUCCAUGAAGG
rnacentral:rRNA from 1 species